AAUCAUAAUAGUAAUGCCCUGAAGGCAUCAGAUCCUGUCUGACCCUAGGAGCUAAGCAGCGUCAGUGCUGAUUAUUACUUGAAUGAGAGAUCACCAGAAAAUACCAAGUGCUAUAGGUA
rnacentral:rRNA from 11 species